rnacentral:lncRNA from 10 species
CAUUCACUAUACACUUUAGAUUUUUCCAUACGGAUCACCAAUUCCUAAAAUCUAUUGGACAAUAGGCCAUUGUUUCCUUCUAUCUGAAACAUCAGCUCCGUUAUAUCAAGAUUCCAGCUGGUUCAGAACACAGGCCCCGGCAGAGAAGGGAAUUGUGUAUUUACCCCAACAACCCUCAACAAUGACAGCUCCUUCCGUCUUCUAACCUCUGGGCAGACACUGACUAAAGGAAGAAAGCACAGAGAGGAUCUCUUGACGGAAUGCAAAAGACUUCCCUAGAUGUCUGCUAUCAAAUGUCUUCCUUUUAAUCUUGGGAGUAGAAAGGGAACCUGGCUUCCUUUCUGGACUUAACCAUGAAACCAGCACCAUCACAUCACCCCUAAACAGAAACUAAGACCCUUCCACAUGCCCCUUGU